CUAACACAUGCAAGUCGAGCGGUAACAGGUGUAGCAAUACAUGCUGACGAGCGGCGAACGGGUGAGUAAUGCUUGGGAAUCUUCCCAGUAGUGGGGAAUAACCAGUCGAAAGAUUGGCUAAUACCGCAUACGUCGGAGACGAGAAAGCGGGGGAUCGUAAGACCUCGCGCUAUUGGAUGAGCCAAAGUCGGAUUAGCUAGUUGGUGGGGUAAUGGCCUACCAAGGCGACAAUCCGUAGCUGGUCUGAGAGGACGACCAGCCACACCGGAACUGAGACACGGUCCGGACUCCUACGGGAGGCAGCAGUGGGGAAUAUUGGACAAUGGGGGAAACCCUGAUCCAGCGACGCCGCGUGUGUGAAGAAGGCCUGCGGGUUGUAAAGCACUUUUAGUGGGGACAAAAAGUCACGGAUUAAUACUUCGUGAUCUUGAUUUAACUCACAGAAAAAGCACCGGCUAACUCUGUGCCAGCAGCCGCGGUAAU
rnacentral:rRNA from 1 species